CGGCCUUAUUACAUUUAAAAACCCAAAACUUUAAACGUAAAUAAAAGGAUGUCCAGUUCACCAGAAGAAAAUCAAACUUUCAGAACGGGUGGCCACUCCGAAUUCCCCCACAGCUCCAAGCCCACUAUGGUUGGGGAUUACCUGCGUGGAUGAAAAUAAAAGGGGUGAGUUUGGGGAAACUCAGUGUGUAAAAUAACCCAACCAUAGUCUAAAUCAGCUCAAACUACAGAAAUAGAAUAAGUUGGCCUUAGCCCAGAACAGAAUUCAGAACAAAACCCAUAGGCCCAUAGCAGAACAGAACAGAUAUUACAUGUUUAUGCAGAAACCCAACCAUAUCCAACCGUAUACACCCCCGUACCAACCUUACACCGUGUGGGGAGACAACUCGAUCCACCCAACCGCUACACACCACAGAAUUUGCAGCAUGGAUGCCAGAACAGAUAAUCGUGGCAGAGCCACCAGAACAGAUAUAUGUGGCAGAGCCACCAGAACGCUUCCUCCAUAAUAUAACCCAUGUCCCCAUGCAACAGAUAUAUAAUCAUGGCAUACAUCAUACAGAAUCAGAUCGUUAUGCUUUUCAGUCAAAAUUAACCCUAGGGGUAUAACGGUAAUUUUGCACUUAGGGGUAUAACAGUAAUUUUCCAUACAUAGGGGUAUUAUAGUAAUUUAGCUACUUUUAUGGUUUUCAUGCAUAUCCUAACUAUUUACGUACUAUCAGAACACUUACCGCACAUACUUACUGAAUUGGGCCCGUUGGCCCAUGAACCUGAUCUUUGGCCCAUUAAGCCCAAAUUAUCAAAAUGUACGAAAUCGCGCGUACUGCAGUUUAUUACUUUAGAUUACCAAAUAUACAAACCCAACUAUCUUACAAGCAUUCGCACACUCGCAAAUUCCCAAAAAACUGACUUUUCGGCAUUUCGGCUUUUCGGCUUUUGCCAAUCUAGUCUAUGAGAGGGUGUCAGUUACACACCUGUUUGCGACGAUAUGCUGACGAGAUCCACACACGAACCACCUACAAUUGGAAUACUAACACGUUAAUCUAACUAUUCAAAUACAAACUACGUAUUAACCCCUUACAAUAUUCGGCCAACCACACCUACAGAUCAUAGUAGGCUUAUGAGAAAUCAAUAAGCAACUCAUUAACAAAUUUUUGUCAAUGUUUACCACAUAAUCAUAAUUUCACUGCAAGCUGUCUUCCUGAGCAACAGUCACUAAAUUAUUUAUAAAUGGAGCUACGAAACUUCAAAUCAAGUGCCGUUAAUUUUUCCUGAAAAUAGACUCAUAUAUCUUUUAUCCAUAAAAUUUUCAGAAUUUUUGGUACGGCCAAUCAAUACCAGAUUUUUCUUAAAGUUUCCCAUGUUUCACUGUUUGACUAAUCUGACCACUCUUCAUUACGAAUCAAAUUUCUAAUUUUACAGAAUUCAAAAUAUGUUCUUGUUUAUUCCAUUUGGA
rnacentral:lncRNA from 1 species